GGUGUUUCGGUGCAAAGGCACUUUCGGUGAACGACGCCAGGCGCAAUAAUUCAAUCUCAAUGACAAUUAAUUCCUGUUCGAAAACCGGAGCGAUUGUUUUCUCUGCGAGACGAACUGACACGAUUGCCUCGCAUCCGUGCUGUUGCUUAUUCCGUGCUGUUGCAUUAUACCCAUUGAUGGAAAACAUCUUCUUCCAAGUGUUAGGAAAGUGAACAGUCAUACUGGCGUAUAUUAUGGGAUUGUAGCAGAUGGAGGACUUCGCGAGGAGUGUUGGCAGCACCGCUACUAAAUGGGAGAAAUUGGAUGCAUCAACAUUAUCUUAGAUGAAGACUUAUGCUUAAUGCUUUUAUACGACUAUCGUAAAUUGAAAUUAAAAAAAAAAAAGUGUUAUUUA
rnacentral:lncRNA from 13 species